GAUGAGCGCUGACAGAAUGCUUAACACAUGCAAGUCAACUUGAACUUCGGUUUGGGUGGCGGACGGGUGAGUAACGCGUAAAGAACUUGCCUCACAGAUAGGGACAACAUUUGGAAACGAAUGCUAAUACCUGAUAUUAUGAUUUUAGGGCAUCCUAGGAUUAUGAAAGCUAUAUGCGCUGUGAGAGAGCUUUGCGUCCCAUUAGCUAGUUGGAGAGGUAACGGCUCACCAAGGCGAUGAUGGGUAGCCGGCCUGAGAGGGUGAUCGGCCACAAGGGGACUGAGACACGGCCCUUACUCCUACGGGAGGCAGCAGUGGGGAAUAUUGGACAAUGGACCAAGAGUCUGAUCCAGCAAUUCUGUGUGCACGAUGAAGUUUUUCGGAAUGUAAAGUGCUUUCAGUUGGGAAGAAAAAAAUGACGGUACCAACAGAAGAAGUGACGGCUAAAUACGUG
rnacentral:rRNA from 1 species